rnacentral:rRNA from 1 species
AUUGAACGCUGGCGGCAUGCCUUACACAUGCAAGUCGAACGGUAACAGGUCUUCGGAUGCUGACGAGUGGCGAACGGGUGAGUAAUACAUCGGAACGUGCCUAGUAGUGGGGGGUAACUACUCGAAAAAGUGGCUAAUACCGCAUGAGAUCUACGGAUGAAAGCAGGGGAUCGCAAGACCUUGUGCUACUAGAGCGGCCGAUGGCAGAUUAGGUAGGUGGUGGGAUAAAAGCUUACCAAGCCGACGAUCUGUAGCUGGUCUGAGAGGACGAUCAGCCACACUGGGACUGAGACACGGCCCAGACUCCUACGGGAGGCAGCAGUGGGGAAUUUUGGACAAUGGGCGCAAGCCUGAUCCAGCAAUGCCGCGUGCAGGAUGAAGGCCUUCGGGUUGUAAACUGCCUUUGUACGGAACGAAAAGCCCCGGGUUAAUACCCUGGGGUCAUGACGGUACCGUAAGAAUAAGCACCGGCUAACUACGUGCCAGCCGCCGCCGUAA